rnacentral:rRNA from 1 species
AAAGAGGCAAGCUCCCGGCUCACCUGGCUGCACGCGGGAGACGCCCCUACCAAGUUUUUCAUGGCCAAGAUCAACUCGAGAAGACGCAAGAACUUCAUCAACGCCCUGAAAGUGGGAGACAGCAUCGUGACUGCACAUGCAGAGAAGCAAGAGGCAAUCCACGAGCACUUCAACUGCAUCCUUGGAUCCUCUCAACACCGAAGCACGUCGAUCAACUGGAAUGAGCUACGUUUUCCCAGGCUGCAAGCAAACGGCAUGGACAACCCGUUCUCUGAAGACGAGGUUUGGGCGGCGAUCAAGGAUUCACCGGCGGAAAAAUCGCCUGGGCCCGACGAUUUCUAUGGGAUGUUCUUCCGUAGCUGCUGGAGCAUCAUCAAAGAAGACAUCAUGCAAGCGUUCCAGUAG